ACUACCAUCUUCCCAGAGUCCCUAGCAUCUCUGAUUCUAACUGUGAUCGAUCCUUCAGGGCUUUGGCCUUAAGUGAUUUUAAAAUUAAUUUACGGCUGGAUUUGUCUAAGACAUACUAUUCUUGCCAAGUGUGGUGUCACAUGCCUUUAGUCUCAGCACUUGGGAGGCAGAGGCUGGAACUCAUCUCUAUGAGUUCCCGCAAGCCUGGUCUACACAGCGAGACUCUGUAUUUAAAAUAAAUUUUAAAACUACCACUCUUAACUUGUGACGCCAAUUCUUUGGGCUGCCUCUGUGGCCGCCCCAGGCUCCUGCGCUGGUGCAGGGUCUGCACGUGACUAGCACAACUUCCUGUCUGAGGCACCUGCAAAGGCCCCGCUGCUGUCUCCACACAGGAAGGGGCCGCUCCGCGGCAAGGUAUGUGCCAAGCAGACUCCCAAGACCAGUGAACUCUUACUCUGGCUUCUGAGAAAGACUUAAAAACCGACAUCAGUAGCACCUGGACUCUAAGCUACCUGGGCACCCUGGGCUUCAGUUUCCCCCACACUACCCCGGACUCUCCACUAGUAACAUCACUACGCCCCUGGACCCUGACUGAUGCACUGGCUUUCCUGGCUCCCAUUUGCUAACUGUAGACGUGUGGAUUCCUUAACCUCCCAAAUCAUAAGACUGACAGUAAUCUGUGUGGUGGAAGAAAGUGAUGGGAUCCUGACAUCGCCCCUGUCUUGGCCUUGGGGCAUCAGUUUUUGUCUUCGUUUCAGAGUGCAGGCUGGGUACAGUCUGGACAAGAGCUGGCUGAUACCCACUGAGACUGCACACACUGUUAAUGCCUCCCUACCAAUACGAAAGGACAGUCUGACAUGGAAGUGAGAUAAUGGGUAAACCUGUAUUAGGAUUAAUGUGACUUUAGACCCUUGGUGACUCAAUGGGAAGGAGAAGAAGUUGGCUAUAGUUGCUAUGGUGACAACUGUGUCAUUACCACAGGGCACGAAGGAUCCCAAUGGUCACUCUCUGCCCCAGCCUGCUCUAGCCACUCGCCAGUCCAAACUUCUGUUGAGAUUAAGAAACUAGCUUUUGCCGGGUGGUGGCGCAUGCCUUUAAUCCUAGCACUCAGGAGGCAGAGGCAGGCAGAUCUCUUUGC